UUUUCUUUUUUUGUUCUUUUACAAUAAAACAGUAGCGGGUGGGACACCAUUUCUCCAAAAUACGCCAUAAUUCUCCUCCCUCGUAAAAUAUCCGUUUCUGUUUCUUUUUUCUCUUUUCACAGCCUCAAUUCAUCUCUCCACUAUUUCAACGCCUCUCUCUCUCUUUCUCUGUCUCUCUCUCUCUCUAACCUUCUCCCUUAUCAUGACAACAACGGAUUCCAUUGAAUCACGUACAAAAUACAAUCCGCCAAUGGCGUCGCUUUCCAAGCAAGAGAGUUUCAGAAUCAAAUCCACCUCUCCAACAACCGCAACGAAGGCAAAAUUUUGCUGCAUUAAUAGAUGGUGUCAAGGUUAUUCUGUCCGCCGAUGACCUUCAGAGGUUAUGGAUAGAUCCAUAGAGGGUGCUUCUCGCUGGCUCUUUCCAAAUUCAAGGUGUUUCUGCAGAUAGGUCUCUCGAAAACUCGUCUGGUACACAGAUUCUCUUGAUAGCAGAAAAACUCCAGCUCUUUGAUAUUGGUGCAGACUCCUUGUUAAGAGAGUUGAGACUGGCUGUUUUGGAGUUUGAUAUAUAGAAAACUUUCAUCUACCGAUCCUUAUUUGCUGCCUUUUGGCUGGCCCUUUGCUAUGUGGAUUAGUCGGGAGUUGACUUCCACAAUUAGUUGCAAAUAAGUUUCGUAGAACAUGUGGCACACUUGCUUCUUCAAGAAGGACCAGUACUGGCUUGGAAUUCUUUUGCUUCAAUUUCAGGUUUUCAUCCUUGCAGGACGAAUAUCUAACUGCAAAUUGGAAUUGUAUCUCAAAUAAAAAUAUAAAGAAUGUAAAUCCUAAUCCUUGGAGAAGAAGGCGUCUAAUCCAUAUGCAUCCAAACCAAACAUGGCCGUUGUGGAAAGGGUAAUUGACACGAGUCAUCCAGAUUCCCGUGAGCUUGAGAAUGCAAAGAAGAUGCUUAAGGAAUUGUUAUUUCAAAUAAAAAUAUAAAGAUAUGUAAGGGCUCAUCCUUGAAGAAGAACGCCUCUAAUCCAUAUGCAUACAAACCAAACACAGCCAUUGUACUGCCACAAAACUGAAAUCUUUACAUUGUUAGAGAAUCUACCGAGAAUAAGUUUUACAUCAGUCCUAGACAACCUAGCUCCUGUUGUCUUACGGAAAAAUCAAAAGAACAUCUUUUCCAUGUGCGUGAGCAAACUGUUACAUCAUAAAUAUGAGCAUUCUCUGUCUGCAGAGGGAAAGAAGCCGACAUCCAAGAAUAAUUCGAGAAUCACAUAGAAGAAA